CAAAAAUCAGCUCAGAACAUCAGUGUUAAACACCAUCACUUUACCAAAACACACACGUUCUUCAACACGUACAAGAAUCACGUUAAAUACUACAAACAAUACCAAUAAAAGAUCAGACGCACGUCACGUCGACCCCUAAUUAACAUCCCUAAUUAGUUCAUUAACUGAAAAAAAAAUCCUGUGUUUGUUAUUUGUGUUAAGUAAUGGCACCCUCUCCAUUCACACCUCUGCAUCAAACGUCUAAAAUUCCCUCUCCUGCGCUCACGUGACCGACUUAUUUCUUUAGUUUUCGUUCCUGUGGGAGAUAAAUGAAGCUGGUUACCGAGAGGGGCGAAGUUGUGCAGUCCCUCUGCGUUCUCCGGCUCGGAGGCGAGGACUCGGGCCUUCAGGCUGCCGUCUGCUGCUUUCCCCGGCCCCGAGUCCAAAAACUUCAUGAUGGUGGAGACCAUGCUGCGUGCCGUGUUCACGAUGGCCCGCGUACUCGUCACCAUGUUGUUACAGAUCAGCUGUACUCCACCUACACACACACACACACACACACACACACACACACACACACACACACACACACACCGAGGGAAAGAGUCUCAAAAAAACUCCUGUUCUAUUUAUUAUACUACAGCACUGGUGAUAAUGGUGUGUGUGUGUGUGUGUGUGUGUGUGUGUGUGUCCGUACCCAUAUCAUGGAAGGCUUUAAGCGCCUCACUGGUGUCCAGAACUCUCAGGAUGAACCACAGCAGCGGCUCAGAGAGCUGACAAGUGGAGAGAGAACCCUGCAUGACAAACACACACUGUUAAACACACACACAGACCCAGACAGAGACACCCGGCCUAUACAGUGAAUACAGUGAAGUUAUGUGCAGUUCUUUGUCUUUAAUAUUUGUGAGUGAAUGAAGCAGGUGUGAGCAGGUGUAGUGCUUGUCGGAGAGCUCACCUGUCUGCCCAUGUAGCCACAGGCCAUGUAGGUGAGGAUGGGCUGCAGCAUGACCUGCACUGACGUGGCUCUCUUACUCAGCGUGGUGAGGAUGGUGAACAGACCGUCGCCUACAGAUAUGGCGUCCAAACCUCCGUGGAAAUUCUCAUGCUUGGUCAAAUGGAGUCCACUAGCACCUGAAGGUGAGAAAUGUAGGGAAGAGUGUUAACGGCGUAGUUACACAGUGAGGAAAGUAAUGGAUUGGGACACGCACACACUGGACAGGGAGUGUACAGACCGAUUAUCAUGGCCAUGGCGCUGCUGUUGCACUGCCCCAAGGCUGAAAGGAUCUGACUCAUGAUCUGUUGAUUGGCCAGCACCAGGUCUGCCACGCCCAUCGCCGGACCCUGAUUGGGGACGUGUCCCGAGGCGCCGCCCUCUUUGCCGCCGCCUCCACUGCAGACUUUUUCCUCGUCGGAGACGCUGUUGGAGGGCAUGCGCCCGCUGUACUCUCUGUCUCCGGACAGCGGCAGGGUGACGAGAGCGUUGACUAGCUUGAGCAGGUCGAACAUCAGCUGAUCGCGCGUGGUCUCUCCGCACGCCGCCUUGGCGUCUCCUGGGCGGAUGAUAUUAGCGAAAAGGCCUCCGAAACAGGCGCGGGCGCACACGGAGCCAUCCGAGCCGCUCCGGGACACCACCUUCUCCGAGCAGGUGAUGUAGUGAUGGACCAGGAAGGUGAUGGACUCAACCACGGCUGUGAUGGUGGUGACGGACACGACCUCGAAGUUCUGCUCCAGCGUGAACUCCAGGAGCUUCACCUGAGCGUCCAACGGGCCCUGUCCUGAAUGGAACGGACCCCUGUAGAGGAGGGACACGAGGGAGAGUCAAUAAGUAGUUCAGUAACUCAGUAAGAAAGUCAGUAACUGAAGAUAUAAAAUAAGCAGGUUAGAGUCAGUAAUGAAGAAAGUGUCAGUAAGUCCAAAAAGUCAGUAAGCAAGUUAGUCAAUAAAUCUAUUACUAAAACAACAUCACUUAAAUCAAUAAGUCACUAAUUCAGUAGAGCAGCAAUUCAGUAAGAUCACUAAUUCAGUAGAUCACUAAUUCAGUAGAUCACUAAUUCAGUAGAUCACUAAUUCAGUAAGAUCACUAAUUCAGUAGAUCACUAAUUCAGUAGAUCACUAAUUCAGUAGAUCACUAAUUCAGUAAGAUCACUAAUUCAGUAGAUCACUAAUUCAGUAGAUCACUAAUUCAGUAAGUCAGCAGAUCACUAAUUCAGUAGAUCACUAAUUCAGCAGAUCACUAAUUCAGUAGAUCAGCAGGUCAGCAGGUCAGUAGAUCACUAAUUCAGUACAUCAGUAAGUCAGUAGAUCAGUAGGUCAGUAGAUCAGUAGGUCAGUAAGCCAACACACAGAUCACGGAGUUGUUAAGUCAGUAACCAAGUAAAAUAAAGACUGAAUGAACACACUGCAUCAGAGCAAUCAGGAAGAACAAACAGAAGGAGAAGGAGAAGGAGAGGAGUGUGUACCGCUCGGUGGAGAGAAUGUGCACUAGUUUGAGCAGGAACUCGCUGAACAUCUGAGGACAGGUGGAGGACAGGUGGACCUGUAAGCGGGUCAGGAACUCCUGCAUGGCCUGCGUUGCAGUCGGACCCACCUGCGCAGAGAAAGCCAGGGGUUUACACACUGUAAUUACAGGUUUAGUGUGUGUGUGUGUGUGUGUGUGUGUGUGUGUGUGUGUACCUGUGAGCUGUGCUGACUCGUCCCGUGGGGGUUACUGCCUGACAGGAAGCGCACCAGCACAUGCACCAGCGUGGGGUCCGACACCAUCUGCUGAGCCGUGCUCUCAUGCACAACUAUACCACUGUUAGAGGCUGGAACGCGCACACACACACACACACACACGUGUUGAAAUUAUUGGCACCCUGGUGUUUGGACGCUUCAGCGGCUGCUGGACGCUAAGCAACCAUUUCUUGCUCAGUAUUUUCACUCAAGAUUUAAGUAUUGGCACCCUCAUGUUCAG
ensembl:lncRNA